rnacentral:lncRNA from 1 species
UGAGUUCAGCCUAUCAUCUGAGAUCCGAGUAUGAUUGGGGAAAUAUCCUGAAAUAGUCUAUGAUUUGAAGAAAUGGAUAGAUGGCUAGAAUAAUAUGCUAGAUGGUAGUCAAGUUACUAACUGCAGAAUUGAUUUGAUAAAAUUCUCAUCGUGUCUCCUGACUUAGGAGAAAUAUUGGGUCUGAUGAAUGGGUAAAAUUGCCAGGUGAAAAGAAUUUGGUCUGUAAGAUUUGGCAGCACCCUGAGGUUUGCCAUAUCUGAUGGCCUGGCUUUAGUGGCAGCACCUAGUGAAGGCCCAGGUGUCCUUCUGACAACCUUUACCGCCUACCGUUUUGUCCUUACUUAUGUUGAAUCACUACAGACAGGCUGUUGAAUUCAGCUGUCUGUGGAGAAAUUAUACCAACCACAUGGUUAGACAGAAGGAAUACAAUAUAUUGCUUAAUUUGUAUCUGAAAGCUAAGCAACAUGGAAAAAAAUCAAGCCUGCUCAGUCACUUCCAUGAGGACAAAUGAAGACACUUCAAGGGAGGACAUUGACAUGGGUCUGCCAGCUUUCUAAGCCUUUCCCCAGAUUCAAGUCCAGUCACAUCAAGUUGCCUUAUUAAAGGGUCUGCCCACUCAAAAGGAGAAAGUGCAAAAGAUGCUCAGCAAGAGGGUACCAAACGCAGUCAGAUGAUACUUCCUGACAGCAUCCAAGAGCAAGUCUCACCACCACAUCUGUCAAU